ACCGAGAGUUUGCAAUGACCUCCAGGCUGGGCAGAGAGCAGCCAGUGAUCCUCUGGGCAGAGAAGGCAGAGGACAGUCUUGCCAUUGUUGGGGCCUGGAGAAACAUCACAACACUGAGACAGAGGGAUGCCCUGGUGCAGUCCACUGUUGACUUCUUCCUUGAGGGCAGAUUGAAUGUGGCUUUGCAACAGUUCACAGAGGGCUUCAACACCCUAGGCCUCCUCCAGGAUAUUAGGGCACACCCUGAUUUAUUCCGAAAUCUGUUUGUGGAGGAUGUGGAACCUUUGAAAGUUGCUGAUCUCUCAGCAGUAUUUCAAGUCAACUUUUCAACACCAGGAACACAAAAGUGAGAUUGAGACUGGCUCAUUGAUGUAGAAGGUACAAGAAAUUAUAUAAUAUGGUCUGUUCUGUAAGAUACUGUACAUGAAUUUGUGCACCCGCAAUUGUAGGCCGCAAAUUAUCAUGACUAUGAUGCUGUCAUUGAUAGUUAGUUUUAGGAAUAGAAGAGAAAAGCCAAUACAUUAUGUUUAGUUGUAGUGUGAAAAUUUUUUUCAAAUACCUAACUGUAACAGAACCAUGGCAGACCCAACCAUGUUUCCAUGCUUUUCAGCAUCUUUCUUUAUUCACUCUUGGUUGCUCUCACUUGGCUGCUAAUCACUGCUGUCUCUCUCACACACACACAGAGCUGCAGCUUUCCAGUUUGCAGCUGAAAAAUUCGCCAACAACAACAAACGAAUGACAGGACCCAGGACACAUUUUAUUCUGGGAGGGGUGAUUACUGAUGCCGCUCAGACCACGCACCGCCACACUAACACUCAACUGUUCAUUUAUUUUAGAUGGAGAAUGUGCACCUGUGACCUUGGAGAAUGUCCUGGAAUUUGUUUCUUGAUCCUCUUCAAUACCCCCAAAUGGCUUUCUUAUGCAGCCCACAAUCGAGAUUCUUCCAGAGGAUUCUGGCAAGAUUUUUCCUGAGGCAAAUACAUGUAACAUUGUUUUGAAAUUGCCAGUGCACAAAGAUUAUGAAUCAUUUAAAGCACAAAUGUGCAAUGCUAUACUUUGGGCACCAACAUUUGGCAUGGCAUAGAUGGACACCAUUUACAUUGUCCAUUUUGAAUACUUCACAGUGCAGAUUUUGAGUUAUUGCUUAUAACUAUUUUAUGUUUCAUAUAGCACUAUUAUGAAAGCUAUGAGUGUAAGAUUAAAAGUAAUAGUUCAACACUGAAAAUCAAUACUUUUUUGUUGUUGAAGGUUUAAAGUUUUAUAGACAGGUAUCAACAGAAAGUAGAAGUAAAAAGCAAGACCUACAUAAACAGCCACGUUUGUACGUGUUCUAACCCUCCUGGAAGACAUUAAGGACACUCAGAGGGUCCACAGUUGAAUGAUACAGUCUCUCCUUACACACUUGAUGGUGAUGGACCAGUUGCUGCAGUAUUACCCGAGGGUGCUGUAUUGCCCAUCCGGACAGUUGCAGAUGUGACAGCACUGGAGCAAAAACUGGCAGACCCUGUCUUCCUAAAAGAAGUGGUUGCUGUUGUGGCAGAGAUCGGAGGGAGCACUGUUGAUGAAGCCACAAGAAGAAUGAUGGCCAUCAUUAUGGACAAUGCUCUUUCCAGGCAAUAUAACUUCGUUGGGCGCCUGGAAAUCGGGAAUUUCGAGGGCUUAAAGUUUUUGAAGUGCUAUAUGGUAAGUUCAUUAGUUGUAAGAUAUUUUGUUGAUGUUUGAAUAACAGAUGCUCACUACAGCUGUAGUCAUUCUUCCAAACAAUUUAAUCAGUGACUUAACCGUGUGGGGUCCAGGGUAUAAUUGGCCAUUUUUGACUACUUUUA